AUAUUUGAAAAAUGUAUCAUUAGAAAGCUGAGAAUUUUUUCUUCAAAAUACAGUUGAGAGUUCGAAACUAACGAAACUGGCUCUUUUGCCGGUCAUGACCUUUGUACUCUUCCGUUACUAACGACGCCACAAAAGUAAACGUUACGUCAAACGUCAACAAUUUACAGAUAAAAAAUGGAACGUCAAUAAUUAAUGGACUUGAGUGGCUGGAAUGAGGAAUUUUAACAUGAUUUGAUCAACAAAAAGAUAAAAGCAGGAAUACAGUCAAUCACAAAUGUACAAUAUGCCCUACUUUUCACAUUGGUGCAGGAAAUGGAGUGUCCUAUAUAUGCAACCCUUGAAGAUGUUUUUCGUUAUGCCAUGCCUGCUGUUAC